UGGGGAAUAUUGGACAAUGGGCGAAAGCCUGAUCCAGCCAUGCCGCGUGUGUGAAGAAGGUCUUCGGAUUGUAAAGCACUUUAAGUGGGGAGGAAGGGCAUUAACCUAAUACGUAAGUGUUUUGACGUUACUGACAGAAUAAGCACCGGCUAACUCUGUGCCAGAAGCCGCGGUAAUACAGAGGGUGCAAGCGUUAAUCGGAAUUACUGGGCGUAAAGCGCGCGUAGGUGGUUUGUUAAGUUGGAUGUGAAAUCCCCGGGCUCAACCUGGGAACUGCAUUCAAAACUGACUGACUAGAGUAUGGUAGAGGGUGGUGGAAUUUCCUGUGUAGCGGUGAAAUGCGUAGAUAUAGGAAGGAACACCAGUGGCGAAGGCGACCACCUGGACUAAUACUGACACUGAGGUGCGAAAGCGUGGGGAGCAAACA
rnacentral:rRNA from 1 species